rnacentral:rRNA from 1 species
UGGGGAAUAUUGCACAAUGGGGGGAACCCUGAUGCAGCCAUGCCGCGUGAAUGAAGAAGGCCUUCGGGUUGUAAAGUUCUUUCGGUGACGAGGAAGGUUGAUAGGUUAAUAGCCUAUCAAAUUGACGUUAAUCACAGAAGAAGCACCGGCUAACUCCGUGCCAGCAGCCGCGGUAAUACGGGGGGUGCGAGCGUUAAUCGGAAUAACUGGGCGUAAAGGGCACGCAGGCGGUGACUUAAGUGAGAUGUGAAAGCCCCGAGCUUAACUUGAGAAUUGCAUUUCAUACUGGGUCGCUAGAGUACUUUAGGGAGGGGUAGAAUUCCACGUGUAGCGGUGAAAUGCGUAGAGAUGUGGAGGAAUACCGAAGGCGAAGGCAGCCCCUUGGGAAUGUACUGACGCUCAUGUGCGAAAGCGUGGGGAGCAAACAGGAUUAGAUACCCUGGUAGUCCACGCUGUAAACGAUGUCGAUUUGGGGAUUGGGCUUUGAGCUUGGUGCCCGUAGCUAACGUGAUAAAUCGACCGCCUGGGGAGUACGGCCGCAAGGUUA